CGCUUUGCACAGUGGCAGUAUUGUAGCCAAUGAGGUUUAUCUGAGGCACAAUUAUUGCUAAUUGAAAAAUUUUCCCAAUACCCCGCCAUGAUGACUUGAAAUAUAGACGGCAUCGGCAAUUUUUGACAGUCUCUAUGGAGA
rnacentral:snRNA from 1 species